UGAGGAAUAUUGGUCAAUGGGCGGGAGCCUGAACCAGCCAAGCCGCGUGAGGGAUGAAGGCCCUAUGGGUCGUAAACCUCUUUUGUCAGGGAACAAAAGCGAGUAUGUAUACUAGUCUGAGUGUACCUGAAGAAAAAGCAUCGGCUAACUCCGUGCCGGCAGCCGCGGUAAUACGGAGGAUGCGAGCGUUAUCCGGAUUUAUUGGGUUUAAAGGGUGCGUAGGCGGCGAUGCAAGUCAGCGGUAAAAGCCCGGGGCUCAACCCCGGCGAGCCGUUGAAACUGCAGUGCUAGAGAAGGCGAGAGGUACGCGGAAUGCGCAGUGUAGCGGUGAAAUGCUUCGAUAUUGCGCAGAACUCCGAUUGCGAAGGCAGCGUACUGGCGCCUGACUGACGCUGAGGCACGGAAGCGUGGGGAUCGAACAGGAUUAGAUACC
rnacentral:rRNA from 1 species